AUUGAACGCUGGCGGCAGGCCUAACACAUGCAAGUCGAGCGGAUGAAGGGAGCUUGCUCCUGGAUUCAGCGGCGGACGGGUGAGUAAUGCCUAGGAAUCUGCCUGGUAGUGGGGGAUAACGUCCGGAAACGGGCGCUAAUACCGCAUACGUCCUGAGGGAGAAAGUGGGGGAUCUUCGGACCUCACGCUAUCAGAUGAGCCUAGGUCGGAUUAGCUAGUUGGUGGGGUAAAGGCCUACCAAGGCGACGAUCCGUAACUGGUCUGAGAGGAUGAUCAGUCACACUGGAACUGAGACACGGUCCAGACUACUACGGGAGGCAGCAGUGGGGAAUAUUGGACAAUGGGCGAAAGCCUGAUCCAGCCAUGCCGCGUGUGUGAAGAAGGUCUUCGGAUUGUAAAGCACUUUAAGUUGGGAGGAAGGGCAGUAAGUUAAUACCUUGCUGUUUUGACGUUACCAACAGAAUAAGCACUGGCUAACUUCGUG
rnacentral:rRNA from 1 species